rnacentral:tRNA from 1 species
GAGGGUACAGCUCAGUGGUAGAGCAUGUGCUACCACACACAAGGUCCUGGGUUCAACCCCCAGUACCUCCA